UACGUAGGGUGCAAGCGUUGUCCGGAAUUAUUGGGCGGAAAGAGCUUGUAGGCGGUCUGUCGCGUCUGCUGUGAAAAUCCGGGGCUCAACCCCGGACUUGCAGUGGGUACGGGCAGACUAGAGUGUGGUAGGGGAGACUGGAAUUCCUGGUGUAGCGGUGAAAUGCGCAGAUAUCAGGAGGAACACCGAUGGCGAAGGCAGGUCUCUGGGCCACUACUGACGCUGAGAAGCGAAAGCAUGGGGAGCGAACAGG
rnacentral:rRNA from 1 species